CCACCCAGACUCCACCUGUUAUGAAUAUUUUUGCUUGGCCUUUUUCGGCUUCAUUUUGGCGACCGCGGCAGGACUGGACUCCGUUGUGCCGUGAUCCAGAGGGGCCCGGGGACGCUUUUGGGGCCCCCCGACGAAUUCUGUCGGAUAAGCCUCCCCUACUCCCUUGGCUCCACGCGCGGACGGACACCAGACCUACCUCAUACUGAAAAGAAUCUUUUAGGGAAACCUCUGCAAGAGAAAUGGGAAGGACCCUUUCGAGUGUUGCUCACCACCUUCACUGCAGUCCGAAUUAAGGAGCGACCCACCUGGAUCCACUAC